UUUUCUCCUUCCUGGGCUUGCUCACUUCCUUUCCCUUUACCCCUGCUUCCUGGGAUCUCCUCCCAAACGAACGAGUCCUGUCUCAGGCUCUGCUUCUGGGGGAACCCAAGCUAAGAGAGAAGUGCUAUUAACAACUUGAGGAUCUGAAUGCCAUCUCUUACCUUUCAGAAUUGUCACUUAUACCUAAACCAGAGAGGAGGAGAGUCCCAACACUGGCUUUGAAACGCCUCUGACCCACAGGAAAUGGCUGUUUUCAAGUGUCAGGAGGAAGCCCGGGGAGCUUGACUUGGAAAGACUUACAGUGCAGAGGACAGCAGACACAGUGGAGUGUGGGAGGUAAUGCCUGAAGCUUAACUAGAGGGAUUCAGUGAAAGUUUGCAGCCUCCCUGCAAGGACCUCCCCCAGAGCCUUCCUCAGGAGGCUGGCAGUCAAGCACGGACUCCCCAAGAGAAAGACUGGAGAGGAUAAGUACCCCCAGACUGACAAGUUAACGCGAAGGGCUGGCACUGGCCCCUCAAGCACCUCUGCAGAGACCCGGGAUGCCAGGGAGGCCCAUUUACAAGCCAGCAAUUCAAAAGGUGAGACCUACAUUUGGAGCUGUUUGAUAAGCAGUUAAGAGUUACU